rnacentral:rRNA from 1 species
ACUCAAAGGAAUAGACGGGGCCCCGCACAAGCAGCGGAGCGUGUGGUUUAAUUCGACGUAACACGAAGAACCUUACCGGGGUUUGACAUGUACAUGUAAUCUCGUGAAAGCGAGACCCCCCGCAAGGGGCGUGUACACAGGUGUUGCAUGGCUGUCGUCAGCUCGUGCCGUGAGGUGUUGGGUUAAGUCCCGCAACGAGCGCAACCCUUGUCGCCAGUUGAUCUCUCUGGCGAGACUGCCGAGUUUAACUCGGAGGAAGGCGGGGAUGACGUCAAGUCAGCAUGGCCCUUACAUCCCGGGCUACACACACGCUACAAUGGGUGGUACAGAGGGUUGCUAAACCGCGAGGUGGAGCCAAUCCCACAAAGCCAUCCUCAGUUCAGAUUGCAGUCUGCAACUCGACUGCAUGAAGGCGGAGUUGCUAGUAACCGCAGGUCAGCAUACUGCGGUGAAUACGUUCCCGGGGCUUGCACACACCGCCCGU